CUGCAUCUUUGACAGCCUGGGCUCUCUGCUGUGAGUAAACCUGGGUUUUAUUAAUUUAGAUGCAAUAUUAAACGUCCCUGCGCUUUCUGCUCGCCUCUUCCGUGGCGUCUCGGAUUGAAUCGGGGACGAUAAAU